GAGGAUAUAGCUCAGUAGUAAAGCUCUUGCCUAACACGCACCAGGCCCUGGGUUCAAUCCCCAGUACCUCCA
rnacentral:tRNA from 1 species